AAGGGAGACCUAAUUCCGGUAGGAGACGAAAAAAAAGUAGUCCCAACCAAGAAUCAAUCCCAAAAGGUCGGAGCGAGGCGAAAUUGGCUUUCAAACUAGGUUCUGGGUUCACGCAAGACCUGAAUCAGGAACAAGGGCUAUUAGCUCAGGUGGUUAGAGCGCACCCCUGAUAAGGGUGAGGUCCCUGGUUCGAGUCCAGGAUGGCCCACCUGCACAGGUGGUAAAAACAAGAGAAGCGAGGAAUCAGCACCUUAUCUUAUCUAUAUAUAAGAGAGAAUGCUGGCUCUGAGUAAAGAGUCCAGAGGAACCUUGAAAACUGCAUAGAGCUAGGUGAAAAAGCCAAAAAAGAAGACCGCAA
rnacentral:tRNA from 1 species